rnacentral:rRNA from 1 species
ACGGGUGAGUAACGCGUAGGAAUCUACCAAAUAGCGGGGGAUAGCCCGGAGAAAUCCGGAUUAAUACCGCAUACGCCCCACGGGGGAAAGGCCGGGAUCUUCGGACCGGUCACUAUUGGAUGAGCCUGCGUAAGAUUAGCUUGUUGGUGGGGUAAAGGCCUACCAAGGCGACGAUCUAUAGCUGGUCUGAGAGGACGAUCAGCCACACUGGGACUGAGACACGGCCCAGACUCC